GGAGGGGGCGCCGGGAGGCUGCAAGUGGGUCUGAGAGGCCAACUUGAGGAGGCCUGGCCUCUGCCUCCCGCAUUGCCCAGCUGUUCCUCCUGGCUGCAUCUCCCACCUCCCAGCAAACAAGCUCUUUUGGCUCAGCUCCCGCCUGCGUUUGUAGACCCCGAAGUUUCUGCAACCAAGCUCUUCAGACCCACAUCCCUUCUCCCAGUGACUGAACAGUCCCAGCUCCGGCUGGAGAAGGGCGUCUGCAGACCCCGCUGUUGCCUCCCAGGGGAGUCUCCAGGCCCAGCUCUCGCCCCACCGCGACCUCCCAGGCCCAAGUCCCUGCCUACCUCCCAGCAGCCCGAGUGCGAUCCUGUUCCUCCCUCACGGUGGCCUGUUG
rnacentral:lncRNA from 1 species